rnacentral:lncRNA from 1 species
AUGGCUAAAGGUGACCCCAAGAAACCAAAGGGCAAGAUGUUUGCUUAUGCCUUCUUCAUGCAGACAUGCAGGAAUGAACUUAAGAAGAAAAACCCAGAGGUUCCAGUCAAUUUUGCGAAGUUUUUUAAGAAGUGCUCUGAGAUGUGGAAGACCAUGUCUAGCAAAGAGAAAUCAAAGUUUGAUGAAAUAGCAAAGGCAGAUAAAGUAUGCUAUGAUCGGGAGAUGAAAGAUUAUAGACCAGCGAAAGGAGGCAAGAAGAAGAACCCAAAUGUGCCCAAAAGACCUCAUUCUGGAUUUUUCUUAUUCUUCUCUGAAUUCUGCCCCAAGAUCAAAUCCACAAACCCUGGCAUCUCCAUUGGAGAUGUGGCAAAAAGAUGGGUGAGAUGUGGAAUAACUUAAGUGAGAGUGAAAAGCAGCCUUACAUUACCAAGGCAGGAAACCUGAAGGAGAAGUAUGAGAAGGAUGUUGCUGACUAUACGUCUAAAGGGAAGUUUGAUGGUGCCAAGGGUCCUGCUAAAUUUGCCCAGGAAAAGGUGGAAGAAAUGGAAGAUGAGGAGAAAGCGGAAUAAGAGGAGGAGGAAGAAGAGGAAGAUGAAUAA